rnacentral:lncRNA from 1 species
UCUUUCUCUCUCCUCCGUGGUGUAUGCAUCUGGUUGAUGUAUUAUGCCAUCGGCCAUCUCCAGGAAAGAAAAAUUCCGCCGUCCCUGCCUUCUAAUUAUUUCCCUCUCCUCCUCCAUAGAUCAUGCAUUUGGUCCUUGGAGUUUUGGCAGUCUACGACUCUUAACAAGAGAUGUGCACCAAGAAAAGAUUAUACUAGCUAUAGUCAACCCUGUAGAUCGGCUGCAGAAGAAGACUGCUUGGUCCUUGCUGAGAUUGGACUUUGUUGAUGUGCUGAGGGGUGCCAUGCCACGAGCCAAUGGUGAGUACUGCCGGACGACAACUGUUCUUUUAUGUACGCUGCAUCCCGUAGCUGAUCUAUAUGCGCCAAAGGCCCCUACUGGGCAGGUUUGACCUUUGUUGUACGUAUUAAGCAAGAUCAAGGAUUGAUUAUCAUUUCGAG